rnacentral:rRNA from 1 species
UACGUAGGGUGCAAGCGUUAAUCGGAAUUACUGGGCGUAAAGCGUGCGCAGGCGGUGAUGUAAGACAGGUGUGAAAUCCCCGGGCUUAACCUGGGAACUGCAUUUGUGACUGCAUCGCUGGAGUGCGGCAGAGGGGGAUGGAAUUCCGCGUGUAGCAGUGAAAUGCGUAGAUAUCUGGAGGAACACCGGUGGCGAAGGCGGCAUCCUGGACCGGCAUUGACGCUGAGGCGCGAAAGCCAGGGGAGCAAACGGG